rnacentral:rRNA from 1 species
UGGGGAAUAUUGGACAAUGGGCGAAAGCCUGAUCCAGCCAUGCCGCGUGUGUGAAGAAGGUCUUCGGAUUGUAAAGCACUUUAAGUUGGGAGGAAGGGCAGUAAGCGAAUACCUUGCUGUUUUGACGUUACCGACAGAAUAAGCACCGGCUAACUCUGUGCCAGCAGCCGCGGUAAUACAGAGGGUGCAAGCGUUAAUCGGAAUUACUGGGCGUAAAGCGCGCGUAGGUGGUUCGUUAAGUUGAAUGUGAAAGCCCCGGGCUCAACCUGGGAACUGCAUCCAAAACGGGCGAGCUAGAGUAGGGCAGAGGGUGGUGGAAUUCCCUGUGUAGCGGUGAAAUGCGUAGAUAUAGGAAGGAACACCAGUGGCGAAGGCGACCACCUGGGCUCAUACUGACACUGAGGUGCGAAAGCGUGGGGAGCAAACAGG